CAAAUAAUGGUCCUAUUAUGGUCCCUGCCAGAAAAGAGGAUGGGACAUUUUUUAAUGAGAGCAUUGUUUGUUAAUAUUUAAGAAAUAUUGCUUAACAUUUAUUAAUUUCUGAUUUUAAGAAUUACAAAAUCUAUCAUGCAUGAUUUCAUUUCGUAAUUUAGAUUACAUUUACUGGUCUCACAACAAAACCAAGACAAGAGAUUAUAUCACUCAGUUUAUUACAGAAUCAACACUACAAUGUUCUUAUUUUAAAAGCACUUAAUAGCCCGGCCCCAGGCUACAUCUCUGUAUUACUGUGUCAAGGUAGUUUUUAUUUACAUAUCCCCAUAUCACAGUUCAAAAAUAUGCCUCAAGUACAAUAUUUCGCUCUGAAGAGUAGUAAAGUACAAGUAUGAGGAAAUAUUCAAGUAAAGGUCAAGUAUCUCAAAUUUGUUGCUAAGUACAGUACUUGAGUAAGUGUACAUUAGAAGUCAUACAGAAGCCAGAUGUUUUAGAAAUUAACAGGUAACAGUGCUGUUCUAUGUGGUUACAUUGCAAAUGUCUUUUUAAUAUUCAUGGCCAGGAAAGGUUUUAUCAUCCUCAUACUCCACUAAUUCCAGAGAUGUAAUAAUAUUAAUACAUAAAUCUAUUCCACUGCAGAUUGACAAUGUAACAAAGGACCUUAACGGUAGACUUUUAAUCAUACAGGGCCAUAUUCUUUCUACAUGUCAUAAUUUAGUCAAUGUAUACGGACCAAAUGAUGACAAUGCUCAUUUUUACAACAAUUUAUUUUUGACACUUUCAACACUAACAAGCAAAUAUAUUAUUGCAGGGGAAUUGUGUUCUUGAUCUAAGUAAAGAUAGGCCUUUCAAUAUUAAUGAUGAUAAUAAUAGGAAAAAUUAUAAUAAAUUGUAGCAGCAGGUGCUGAGCAGAAACACGGGGGCAGCAGGCGGCCUGCAACCACAGAUCCAGACCCCACAGAGCCAGAAACACCCGCAGAUAACAAAAGAGCAAAGAUGCUCCAAAGAGGCUGAGGACUGCAAGUUGAAAAA